AUUGAACGCUGGCGGCAGGCCUAACACAUGCAAGUCGAGCGGAAACGAGUUAUCUGAACCUUCGGGGAACGAUAACGGCGUCGAGCGGCGGACGGGUGAGUAAUGCCUAGGAAAUUGCCCUGAUGUGGGGAUAACCGAUUGGAAACGAUGGCUAAUACCGCAUAACACCUUCGGGGUCAAAGAGGGGGACCUUCGGGCCUCUCGCGUCAGGAUAUGCCUAGGUGGGAUUAGCUAGUUGGUGAGGUAAUGGCUCACCAAGGCGACGAUCCCUAGCUGGUCUGAGAGGAUGAUCAGCCACGACUGGAACUGAGACACGGUCCAGACUCCUACGGGAGGCAGCGAGUGGGGAAUAAUUGCACAAUGGGGGAAACCCUGAUGCAGCCAUGCCGCGUGUGUGAAGAAGGCCUUUCGGGUUUGUAAAAGGCACUUUCAGUUGCGAGGAAGGCAAUAUACGUAAUAGCGUGUGUGUUUUGACGUUUAGCAACAGAAGAA
rnacentral:rRNA from 1 species